rnacentral:rRNA from 1 species
CAGUAGCCACGGUAAUACGGAGGGUGCGAGCGUUAAUCGGAAUUACUGGGCGUAAAGCGUACGCAGGCGGUUUGUUAAGUCAGAUGUGAAAUCCCCGAGCUUAACUCGGGAACUGCAUUUGAAACUGGCAGGCUAGAGUCUCGUAGAGGGGGGUAGAAUUCCAGGUGUAGCGGUGAAAUGCGUAGAGAUCUGGAGGAAUACCGGUGGCGAAGGCGGCCCCCUGGACGAAGACUGACGCUCAGGUACGAAAGCGUGGGGAGCAAACAGGAUUAGAUACCCGAGUAGUCCCUGUCUCUUAUAC